UUCUAUGAUAAAGUUUUCAUUUGUGACUUAUUCAGUCGGCAGACGGUGGUCUUGGUUCCACGAACCCGUGAAUUUGGGAACGACAAUAAUAACAUCGAGUUGCCUGUUCGUAUUUUUCAUUUAUAAUUUUCGGAUACAGGCAAGAUUGCUGUAGACCUUAAAGGCCUAAGUGGCUAUUCUUUCGAGUUUCUGUUGUCUGUGCCCUUCGACUUCCAAAAAAAGGAGGUAUGAUUUGAGGAACUUUUAUUCAUCCAUUGGUGGUCGACAUUCGACAAUAAUUACUGCUUUUAAGAUCAUCACGUGGUCAAGAUUUGAAUCGGCCCUGAAGCAAAGGUUUGACAUAUACCUCCUUGUGUUUGCUUACCACAACACUUUAGCAGAAACUGGGGACUCCAUUCAUUCAGUGCAGCGUUAUGUCUACCACAUCACAGGGUAUGGCCCCUGACAACUAAAAUGAUCACACACAACAGACUACGGUUGCAAGUCCACCUAUAACAUCUCAACUGUAUCUGGUUCCCAUAGCACAGCAGUCACGUCCUCUUACAAUGCUGUCCAUGCCAACUGGUAACAACACAUGCUAUUUCAUGGAAAAUUCCUGCUUUUACUAUUUUCUCAUCUAAAAACUUCAAUGACUGUGCUGAACCAUAACUGCAUGUGGAAAGCCACCGUCAAGUGCAUAAUCAAUGAACCAAGCUCUCAACUCAGAACAGUUGGACCUUCUUGUAAAAUGGCUAGGAACCCAGUCCUCUCAACACACCUUUAGCAUUGAACCCUCAAAUGCUAUUAAUCCAACAAGAGGUGUACAACAACUGUGGCUGAAAGAUAUGGAUCACCACAAAUGGCAGAAACUUCUUUGAAAGAUAACUUAUCUAAAGUUCCUCAGACUUGCCAAUAAGGAUAGCAUGCAACUUUGUCUUGUUUUGGAAUUUGAAUAUACAAAGGAGAACUCAAGUUACACGAGAUCUUCAUCCUUCCCGGCACAACAGCAACUGUUGUUAAACAAGAUGGAACAGGUUGUUCAACGAGCAAGUGCCAGGAGCAAGUUCGUGGAGAAAUCCAGUGGUAAAGGAACAAUAUUGCAUUCAUGGAGAAAAUUCUGGACAACUGCCAUGUGGAGGUUACUCCAUCAAUGUGCAACAACAAAGAAUGUUGGUAAUUGCUACUAAUUGGGGUCUUUAUCUGCCAAGUUCCAAGUGUCUCAUUCAAGAGUGUCCUUCUUUCUGCUUCAGACAAAAGUUCAAGAAAUGAUUACCAGUAUUUUCGCUAGAAAAUUUUGACAUUUUCCUGUAAAUAUUUUUGUUAAUAAAUGUAA